GGACUACUAGGGUAUCUAAUCCCGUUUGCUCCCCCCGCUUUCGUCCCUCACUGUCGAAGCUGUUCUGGUAAACUGCCUUCGCCAUAGGUCGUCCCUCGAGGAUUACAAGAUUUCACUCCUACCCCCGAAGUACGGUUUACCUCUCCCAGUUCCAAGACUGCCGGUAUCUCUUAGACGCCUUCACGUUGAGCGUGAAGAUUUCCCAAGAGACCUAACAGUCAAGCUACGGCGGCUGGAAACCCACUUGCCCUGCCCUUUCUUCACAUAUGAUUUAGAUAUAUGAACAGCCUGCAUCGACAGGCACUCAGGGUUUCCUUAUCACGAUUGCUCGCAUUGUAAAGUUUGCGCGCCUGCUGCCCCCCAUAGG
rnacentral:rRNA from 1 species